rnacentral:tRNA from 1 species
GUCCUUGUAGUUUACGAAAAGCAUGACACUGAAGAUGUCAAGACGGCUGCUACCUGCACCCAAGGACA